rnacentral:rRNA from 1 species
UAAUAUUCCUGGACUUUUUAUAAGUGGUGAAGUGGGGACGAAGAAGGCUAGGUGAGCCAGGCGUUGGUUGUCCUGGUACUUGCAUGUAGGGGGGAAGACUUGGCAAAUCCGGUUUUCCAUAACUCUGAGGUGCGAAGUGGUUCUGACCUUUUGGUACAGAGAAGUCAUUGAUGCCCGGCUUCCAGGAAAAGCUGCUAGCCAUAACUUAUAGAGAACCGUACCGCAAACCGACACAGGUGGACAGGUAGAGAAUACUAAGGCGCUUGAGAGAACUCGGGUGAAGGAACUAGGCAAAAUGGUACCGUAACUUCGGGAGAAGGUACGCCCUUUUGGGUGAGGGCAUUUACUGUCUGAGCUUAAGAGGGCCGCAGAGACCAGGUGGCUGCGACUGUUUAUUAAAAACACAGCACUCUGCAAAUUCGUAAGAAGACGUAUAGGGUGUGACGCCUGCCCGGUGCCGGAAGGUUAAUUGAUGGGGUUAUCUUCGGAGAAGCUCUUGAUCGAAGCCCCGGUAAACGGCGGCCGUAACUAUAACGGUCCUAAGGUAGCGAAAUUCCUUGUCGGGUAAGUUCCGACCUGCACGAAUGGCGUAACGAUGGCCACACUGUCUCCACCCGAGACUCAGUGAAAUUGAAAUCGCUGUGAAGAUGCAGUGUACCCGCGGCUAGACGGAAAGACCCCGUGAACCUUUACUAUAGUUUUGCACUGGACUUUGAUGAUGACUGUGUAGGAUAGGUGGGAGGCUGUGAAGUGAGGACGCUAGUUCUCAUGGAGCCGCCCUUGAAAUACCACCCUGUUGUUAUUGAGGUUCUAACUUGGUCCAGUAAUCCUGGAUGAGGACAGUGUAUGAUGGGUAGUUUGACUGGGGCGGUCUCCUCCCAAAGAGUAACGGAGGAGCACAAAGGUACCCUCGGUACGGUCGGACAUCGUACCAAGAGUGUAAAGGCAAAAGGGUGCUUGACUGCGAGAGUGACGGCUCGAGCAGGAACGAAAGUUGGUCUUAGUGAUCCGGUGGUUCUGAAUGGAAGGGCCAUCGCUCAACGGAUAAAAGGUACUCCGGGGAUAACAGGCUGAUACCGCCCAAGAGUUCAUAUCGACGGCGGUGUUUGGCACCUCGAUGUCGGCUCAUCACAUCCUGGGGCUGAAGCAGGUCCCAAGGGUAUGGCUGUUCGCCAUUUAAAGUGGUACGCGAGCUGGGUUUAGAACGUCGUGAGACAGUUCGGUCCCUAUCUGCCGUGGGCGUAGGAAAAUUGAGAGGAGCUGCUCCUAGUACGAGAGGACCGGAGUGGACGAACCUCUGGUGCACCGGUUGUCACGCCAGUGGCAUGGCCGGGUAGCUAAGUUCGGACGGGAUAACCGCUGAAAGCAUCUAAGCGGGAAGCCUCCCUCAAGAUGAGUUUUCCCAUGAAGCCCGUUGAAGACUACGACGUUGAUAGGCAAGGUGUGGAAGCGCAGUAAUGCGUGAAGCUAACUUGUACUAAUUGGCUGAUUGUCUUGACCAUAUAAUCUGAG